rnacentral:rRNA from 1 species
AGUGAACGCUGGCGGUAGGCCUAACACAUGCAAGUCGAACGGCAGCACAGUAAGAGCUUGCUCUUACGGGUGGCGAGUGGCGGACGGGUGAGGAAUACAUCGGAAUCUACUUUUUCGUGGGGGAUAACGUAGGGAAACUUACGCUAAUACCGCAUACGACCUACGGGUGAAAGUAGGGGAUCUUCGGACCUUGCGCGAUUGAAUGAGCCGAUGUCGGAUUAGCUAGUUGGCGGGGUAAAGGCCCACCAAGGCGACGAUCCGUAGCUGGUCUGAGAGGAUGAUCAGCCACACUGGAACUGAGACACGGUCCAGACUCCUACGGGAGGCAGCAGUGGGGAAUAUUGGACAAUGGGCGCAAGCCUGAUCCAGCCAUACCGCGUGGGUGAAGAAGGCCUUCGGGUUGUAAAGCCCUUUUGUUGGGAAAGAAAAGCAGCAGGUUAAUACCCCGCUGUUCUGACGGUACCCAAAGAAUAAGCACCGGCUAACUUCGU